rnacentral:sRNA from 1 species
CCUCUUCGAUCUGCUGUGGACAGAUAAAGUGAAUAUGCGCAUCGACCCCUCCCGCAGUAAGAAUCUGCCCUUCGCCGGCGAUGACUUCGGUGCCGGGGCCGAUAACGAUCGUGACGUUGUCCUGAAUAUCCGGGUUGCCCGCUUUGCCAAUGCCGCAUAUGCGUCCUGUUUUAAUGCCGACAUCCGCUUUGACGAUUCCCCAGUGAUCGAGUAUCAGGGCGUUGGUAAUGACGGUAUCUGCCACUUCUGAGCUGGUUAGUUGGCCCUGGCCCAUGCCGUCACGAAUG